ACUCAGCUUCAGGUUACUCUAAACACAUUGCUGUGUAGACUCUUAUUGAGAUUUUCAUCCUCUCUUUAGGAGUCCCUGGGCUAGUGGUGAGGCCCUGAGUAAAUGACCCCAGCAGCACAUCACCUGCUGCCAGCACUUCCACGCACAAGUUACACAGAAGGACGAAAAAUGGGACAGCAGAGUCGGGGCCAAGCCUCCAAUUGAUGGAUAAGCUACCAUGAGUCGAUCCCGAUUCCUCAAUUCUCUGCAGACUGCAGGGAUUUCGGGUGUGACAGGGGUAGGCCCCCCGGGGGAAGAAAAUGCAGCAGCAAGGAGAGCCUGUGAGGCAGGAGCGGCCCUGACCGUGCUGUUGUCUCCAUUGCUGGGCACAGCCCUGUGCAACCCCUGGGUGCCCAGAUCAUUGGUAAGCAAACAGACAGGAGGGCAAAGCUAGAGAGGGCUCCAGAGUUUGGGUGGUCAUAGUUUGAGUCCUUGCUAGACGUGCCACAGUGACACCAACAGGAGAGGUCCUCUUACGGUGCAGAUUCUCUGUGAUUGACCAACAGUGGUUGCUGGCUGGGUUGGCAACAGAUGAAGAAACAGCCAGAGUAGAGAGAGGCAGGGAUGGGGUGGGGAGAGACAGAGAUAGAAAGGGAGGGAUGGGGUGGGGAGAGACAGAGACAGAGAGAGG
rnacentral:lncRNA from 1 species